GAUGAACGCUAGCUACAGGCUUAACACAUGCAAGUCGAGGGGCAGCGCAGUGUAGCAAUACAUGGGCGGCGACCGGCGCACGGGUGCGUAACGCGUAUCCAACCUUCCCGUUACUCAGGGAUAGCCUUCCGAAAGGGAGAUUAAUACCUGAUGGUGUUCAAAUUCCGCAUGUUAUUUGAACUAAAGAUUUAUCGGUAACGGAUGGGGAUGCGUGACAUUAGGUAGAUGGCGGGGUAACGGCCCACCAUGCCCACGAUGUCUAGGGGUUCUGAGAGGAAAGUCCCCCACACUGGAACUGAGACACGGUCCAGACUCCUACGGGAGGCAGCAGUGAGGAAUAUUGGUCAAUGGUCGGAAGACUGAACCAGCCAAGUAGCGUGAAGGAUGAAGGUUCUAUGGAUUGUAAACUUCUUUUAUACGGGAAUAAAACCACCUACGUGUAGGUGCUUGUAUGUACCGUAUGAAUAAGCAUCGGCUAACUCCGUGCCAGCCGCCGCAGUAAAAC
rnacentral:rRNA from 1 species